CGCCGCCUGGCCGACCGGCGCCACGCUCGUGGUCCCCGGCCGCGCGGACCUGAUGUCCCCGGCCCGGUUCGUCGCCGAGCGCGGCGUC
rnacentral:tRNA from 1 species